rnacentral:rRNA from 1 species
AUUGAACGCUGGCGGCAGGCCUAACACAUGCAAGUCGAGCGGAUGAAGGGAGCUUGCUCCUGGAUUCAGCGGCGGACGGGUGAGUAAUGCCUAGGAAUCUGCCUGGUAGUGGGGGAUAACGUCCGGAAACGGGCGCUAAUACCGCAUACGUCCUGAGUAGAAAGUGGGGGAUCUUCGGACCUCACGCUAUCAGAUGAGCCUAGGUCGGAUUAGCUAGUUGGUGGGGUAAAGGCCUACCAAGGCGACGAUCCGUAACUGGUCUGAGAGGAUGAUCAGUCACACUGGAACUGAGACACGGUCCAGACUCCUACGGGAGGCAGCAGUGGGGAAUAUUGGACAAUGGGCGAAAGCCUGAUCCAGCCAUGCCGCGUGUGUGAAGAAGGUCUUCGGAUUGUAAAGCACUUUAAGUUGGGAGGAAGGGCAGUAAGUUAAUACCUUGCUGUUUUGACGUUACCAACAGAAUAAGCACCGGCUAACUUCGUG